CAGUGAUAAAGACUUGUGGUCACAUUGCUAUAAGUGCUGAAAUCUAUUAUAGAACUGUGAGAAUAACAGGAUAUAGAAGAAGUAGUUAUCAUUAAAAUUGAGAACGUGUUAUUCCUGUUAGAGGAGCACUAGUGAACUUAUUAGAUACACUUGCUGCCUGUGGGAGAUAUCUUUCUUUUUUUCCCCUUCUCAUCGAAGGACAAAGGCUGGAAAAAAACACUGUUGGAGUGGUCAAACACUUUUAGAUGCCAGGUACUGAUAAACAGAAGGGUGUUUUCAUCAGAAGAAAAGUAGCUCGCCAACAAGUUGCAGGUGUCUUCUCUCCUCUGUGGGACAGGCAGUGUGGAUAGUUGGAAAGCCAAGGAAUGUUCUAGUGUGGAGUGAAACUCAUUGCUGAGAUAAAGAACAACAGCUGGAAGGGGAACAUGGUAAACAGUUCUGCAGAUGUGCUUCAGAGAAUCUCCUUCAUCCUGAUUUCUUACUACUUACUUUUUCCUCCGCCUGUGGUAAGACAAUGGAAUCAUUC